rnacentral:rRNA from 1 species
AUUGAACGCUGGCGGCAUGCCAUACACAUGCAAGUCGAACGGCAGCACGGGAGCAAUCCUGGUGGCGAGUGGCGAACGGGUGAGUAAAGUAUCGGAACGUGCCCAGUCGUGGGGGAUAACGUAGCGAAAGCUACGCUAAUACCGCAUACGAUCUAUGGAUGAAAGCGGGGGACCGUAAGGCCUCGCGCGAUUGGAGCGGCCGAUAUCAGAUUAGGUAGUUGGUGAGGUAAAGGCUCACCAAGCCGACGAUCUGUAGCUGGUCUGAGAGGACGACCAGCCACACUGGGACUGAGACACGGCCCAGACUCCUACGGGAGGCAGCAGUGGGGAAUUUUGGACAAUGGGCGCAAGCCUGAUCCAGCAAUGCCGCGUGCAGGAUGAAGGCCUUCGGGUUGUAAACUGCUUUUGUACGGAGCGAAAAGGCUCUCUCUAAUACAGGGGGCUCAUGACGGUACCGUAAGAAUAAGCACCGGCUAACUACGUGCCAGCCGCCGCCGUAACAC